GUGGUCUUGCUAUGCAAGAACACUUAACUAGAAAAGUUACAAUUUCUGGGGAAAUUGUGUGAAGUGUUCUUGCCUCCACCUGUAGUCUACAACUGGAGUGGGCGGAGUAACUGUUAUCAUUUACAUAGCACAUUUAAUUGCAAUGUUGUUGCACAGUUACAUUAAACCAUACAUUUAUAAAAACAUUAGCAGGUGUUCAAAAGGCCCUGUCUAUGA
rnacentral:lncRNA from 1 species